CCAGACGGUCGGAUGGCCGCCCUUCGCCGUUUCGGCGGCGCGGGGAGGAAAGUCCGGGCUCCACGGAGACACGGUGCCGGGUAACGCCCGGCGGGGGCGACCCCAGGGAAAGUGCCACAGAAAGCAAACCGCCCCGCCGCCGGUUCGCCGGUCGCAGGGUAAGGGUGAAAGGGUGCGGUAAGAGCGCACCGCGUCCUCGGCAACGCGGACGGCAUGGUAAACCCCACCGGGAGCAAGACCGAAUAGGGACGGCUAUGGCGUUGGGGCAACCCGGCGGCCAUGACGGGUGUUUUCGCCCGCCGUCCGGGUUGGUCGCGCGAGGCGUCCGGUAACGGACGUCCCAGACGAAUGGCCAUCCAUCGGCCCUCGGGCCGAGGACAGAACCCGGCUUACAGACCGUCUGGCCCG
rnacentral:RNase_P_RNA from 1 species